UACGGGGGGGGCAAGCGUUGUUCGGAAUUACUGGGCGUAAAGGGCUCGUAGGCGGCCAACUAAGUCAGACGUGAAAUCCCUCGGCUUAACCGGGGAACUGCGUCUGAUACUGGAUGGCUUGAAUCCGGGAGAGGGAUGCGGAAUUCCAGGUGUAGCGGUGAAAUGCGUAGAUAUCGGGAGGAACACCAGUGGCGAAGGCGGGUCUCUGGGCCGAUACUGACGCUGAGGAGCGAAAGCGUGGGGAGCGAACAGG
rnacentral:rRNA from 1 species